rnacentral:misc_RNA from 1 species
UGGACUACUGGGGUUUCUAAUCCUGUUUGCUCCCCACGCUUUCGCACCUCAGUGUCAGUAUCGGGCCAGUGAGCCGCCUUCGCCACUGGUGUUCUUGCGAAUAUCUACGAAUUUCACCUCUACACUCGCAGUUCCACUCACCUCUCCCGAACUCGAAGGUCGCCAGUAUCGAAGGCAGUUCCAGAGUUGAGCUCUGGGAUUUCACCCCCGACUUAACGACCCACCUACGUGCGCUUUACGCCCAGUGAUUCCGAGCAACGCUAGCCCCCUUCGUAUUACCGCGGCGGCUGGCAC